rnacentral:misc_RNA from 1 species
AACUGAUACUACCUGCGGGAACCUGCGGAGGGAUCAUUACCGAGUGUUUGGGCGCCCCCUCGCGGGGUGCCCGUCCUCCCAUCCGUGUCUAUUUGUACCCUGUUGCUUCGGCGGGCCCGCCCAUCGUGGCCGCCGGGGGGCUUCACUGCCCCCGGGCCCGUGCCCGCCGGAGACCUCAACCAUGAACACUGUCUGAAGGUUGCAGUCUGAGUGAAUGAUAUAAAAAUCGUUAAAACUUUU